UACAGAGGUCUCAAGCGUUGUUCGGAUUCAUUGGGCGUAAAGGGUGUGUAGGUGGCGCGCUAAGUCGGGUGUGAAAUUUCGGAGCUUAACUCCGAAACUGCAUUCGAUACUGGCGUGCUUGAGGACUGGAGAGGAGACUGGAAUUUACGGUGUAGCAGUGAAAUGCGUAGAGAUCAUGAGGAAGACCAGUGGCGAAGGCGGGUCUCUGGACAGUUCCUGACACUGAGGCACGAAGGCCAGGGGAGCAAACGGG
rnacentral:rRNA from 1 species